rnacentral:rRNA from 1 species
UACGGAGGGUGCAAGCGUUAUCCGGAUUCACUGGGUUUAAAGGGUGCGUAGGUGGAUAAUUAAGUCAGUAGUGAAAUCUUCAGGCUUAACCUGGAAACUGCCAUUGAUACUAUUUAUCUUGAAUACUUUGGAGGUAAGCGGAAUAUGUCAUGUAGCGGUGAAAUGCUUAGAUAUGACCCGGAACACCUAUUGCGAAGGCAGCAGGCUAAACAAAGAUUGACGCUGAGGCUCGAAAGCGUGGGGAUCAAACAGG